UAUUAAGUUCCCUCUGUAUGCAGAAUAUUGUGCAACAUGGUUAUGGGUACUACAGUGGAUGUGAGUGUGUAGACCUUGUACAAUAGAGCUUAUAGGCUAAUGAGAAGACAGGAAGAAACAACAGGAACACAUAUAGCUGGAAUGCAGAUGGGAUCUGUGCUACUUACGCUAGCCAUGGGAUGAUUAGAACAAGAUAAGAGACAUGAGGAAGACUUCUUCAAGGAGGUGCUCAAGCCAUGUUUUGGAAAAGAGAACUCAAGGUCUGGCAGGGAGAAAGGAGCAAGACUGCCUGGCAGCUCUUUAGAAAGUUGUGUGACGUAUGAACCAGUUCUUCCCUAUAUGAGAGUGUACCGUACAUCGCAGGCUGUCCAGCAUCGACCCCACUGAUGGAUGCUAGUAGUCCUCCCCGCCAGCACUCAACAUUGUGACAAGACCCCAGUAGAGAUGGUCCCCAAGCAUGCUAACCAUGAAGCAGUGAUAUCGCACAGCACCUGCUUCCAGCAGCCCGGAGCCAAGGGGCAAAAUGGAAAGAGUCAGCAUUUCUCUUUUAGGUUCUCUGCCUCUCUAGUGUGUAAGCUUUUAACCCCCACUACGCGUCUUCGUUCCAUUCUCCUCCAGUACCCAUUUUAGUGAGCUUCUGUUGUUUCUGCCCCAGGAUAUCUCUAACAAAGAACCAAGAUAUUUAUCAGGAGAACUUCUCCCACUCUCCUCUCAGUCCUUGGGGAUCUGAUGAAAUGACACUUCUUGGACUGUGGGGUGGAGCAUGUGAGUCACACCUGGGCCAAUCAUUUUAUCCUAUUUCGUGACCACAUGACCAAUUCAGGGAUGGGAACAUGACCCAGGUGGAACCUAUGAGAGGCAGUGAGAUCUUUCCAGGUACUUCCAGGAAAGAGGGUCUCACUUUUCCCUCUAUAAUGUACACCAGAGAAGGUGUGUGGCUGAAGCUGCUACCAUCCUCUUGUGGCUACAGGAAGCUGGGAUUAAUUGUAACAACGCAAUUGGCAGAUCUGAAAGCUGAGAACAAAAAAGCAAAAAACCUGUGUUCUAAUAACACUAUAUAUGAGCCCUAAAUCCAGCUAUGCCUGGAGCCAGUCUUACUGUGGAAUUUUUAACCUAAGCUGGUUGAUAAAUUAUCUUUUCAUUUAAGACAAAGUCAUGGCAGAUUUUUUGCCACUUGUGAGAAGAAGACAGAUACACCCAAGAAGCUCCUGUUCUUUCUCAUUAACCCAUAUUAAAACCCACUUUCGGGAAAGGAUUCUCCAUUCUAAAUUAUUAAUAACUGAUAAUGCUUCAAAGUCAAAGUAUGACUCCUUCAAGAAAGUUUUCAGCUUUCAGGAUUUGUUCAGCAAAUACUGAGCCCCUUCUGAUGCAAAUAGACAUGGCAGUGUAUGCUAGGAGGAGAGUGUAGCCAAGUUUUCCCAUCAAACUCGGUAUUUCAGUGCCUAAUUUUGGCCAUUCAGAUAAGUUUCAACUUCUAGUAAUGGCCAAGUAAAUUAUAUCUAACUAAACCUUCUGCCAAAGACAGUGGUAAAUUCUGGACCCAAAACACAAUGAUAACAACAAAACCUGUUUGAAGGUUCUUGAAACUGGCCAACAUGGUUUGGUUCUGCAGACAAAAACUGAAGACAUGACCCUUGAAAAAAGGAAAUCACAUAUGGUGAGAUACACAUUUAUCAGGUUUUCCUUCAGCAGCGCUAUCCAUUUCCUGCAGUGGACGGAGGUAGAGCUCAGCAGAAAGUGGCUGUUCUACUGAGUUAAAAAGUUAGAGGUUAGAAUUUGGGGCUUCCACAGUAGCAGGAGAUUGGGAAGGAGGGAAUCUCGCAAAGGAGGGAGUCUCAGAUGGGGAGCUCCCAAAUCUGUGUACAAACUUCUCUGAUUCCUAAACUGUGCAUCUGGGUGAGGUUCAAGGAGCUGAGGGAAAAAUAACAGCUGGAAGGCUAAAAAGGUGUUGUCUUGUGUUGAGCAGAUGGUGCUUAGGGUUUAGUUCUCACCAAGUUAGAGGACUCUGGAGAACACCUAAAGCUUUCUACUGAGACUACAGAAGGAGUAAUGACUACUCCCCAGGACUAAAGCCUAUGUCCUAGGAAUAAAGGCAAAACCAAGAUAGGCCCACCCUGACAAAGCCUAAAACCAACUCUUCAUAGCCGCAUUAUGCAAUAUAGUAACUUCUAGGCACACAUGGCAUUUCAAAUUUAAUUAAAACUAAGUAAAAUUUAACAUGUAGUUCCUCAGACACACUAGCCACAUUUCAAAUGUUCACAGACACAUGUAGUUAAUGGCUAUGAUACUGGACUGCACAGACUACAGAAUAUUUCUAUCAUCAUGGAAGUUCUAUUGAAUGGCAUUGCUCUAUAGGAUCAAGACUAUGCUAGUAAUUUAACUGCUUGAUAGAACAAAUGUCAAAUUUCUUCUAAGGAAGAUAGUAGACUCCAAAGUCUUUUUAAUAUCAUCCAAAAUGCUCAGCAUACAAUUUUUAAAAAUUACUAAUUGUGCAAAGAAUCAGGAAAAUGUAACCUACAGUGAAGAGAAACAACAGGUGAUAAACAUAGACUCACAAGUGACCCAGAUGUUAGAAUUACAAAAGACUUAAUAACUAUAAUAAGUUAAAGAGUCUAUAGGAAAAUAUAUCUGUAGUAGCUGAAGAGAUGGAAAAUUUUAAGAGAGCUAUGGAAACUUUAAAAAAGAACCGAAUGGAAAUCCUGAAACUGAAAGAUACAAUAUCUGACAUUGAAAAUGCAUUAGUUUGGAAUUAACAGCAUAAUGAACACAACAUAAAAAAUCAGUGAGGCUGGAUGCGGUGGCUCACGCCUGUAAUUCCAGCACUUUGGGAGGCCGAGGUGGGCAGGUCACUUGAGGUCAGGAGUUCAAGACCAGGCUGGCCAACAUGGUGAAACCCCAUCUCUACUAAAAAUACAAAAAUUGACCUGGCGUGGUGGUGGGCACCUGUAAUCCCAGCUACUCAGGAGGCCGAGGCAGGAGAAUUGCUGGAGCCAAGUAGGCAGAAGUUGCAUGUGCUGAGAUCACGCCACUGCACUCCAGCCUGGGUGACAGAGCAAGACUCUGCCUCAAAAAGAAACAUUAAAAAAAAAUUAAUAAAUAAAUAAGAAAUCAUCAGUGAACUUGAAGACCAGUCAACGGAUAUUAUUUAAUCAGAAAGAAAAAAAGAUUAGAAUAAAAAGAAGAAUAGGGCCUAAAAAUCCUGUGGGAUAAUAUCAAGCAGUCUAACAUAUGUAUAUUUAGAGCUCCAGAAAGAGAAGAGAAACAGAAUGAAGUAGAAAAAGUAUUUGAAGAAAUAUUGACUGGAAAGCCAGGCACAGUGGCUCACACCUAUAAUCUCAGCACUUUGGGAAGCCAAGAUGGAAGGAUUACUUGAGCCCAGGAGUUCGGGACCAGCCUGGGCAACAUAGCAAGACCCAGUCUCUACAAAAAAAUUAAAAAAUUAGACAGGCAUGGUGGUGUGUACUUGUAGUCCCACCUACUCAGGAGACUGAGGCAGGAGGAUCACUUGAGCCCAGGGGGUCAAGGCUGUAGUGAGCCGUGAUUGUACCACUGCCCUCCAGCCUGGGUGAUGAGUGAGAUGCUGUCUCAAAAAAAAAAAAAAAAAAAAAAAAAGAAAGAAAGAAAGAAAGAAAAGAAAUAUUGACAGGAAAAUCUUCCGGUUUGAUCAAAAACAGUAACCUCAGCAAACUCCCAGUAGAAUUAUUUCAGCCAUUUAGAUGUCUCUGACCCAAAACCCAGCCCCACCCAACUCACUGACAAGACACAAGGUAAUAUACAGACCAAGAAUUUCUGCAAGGAUAAUAGGGCCUGAGAUGAGGGUACAGAUAUUCAGAGGCAGUGCCGACACUGAAAAAAUUCCACAGGUUUCUUCUCAGAAUCUUGCUGACUCCAGAAAACAAGUCUAGAGUAUACUUUUCCUACUGAAGGAUCUGACAGUCCUCUUUCAGGCCACCCUGAGACGGGCUCCAUAAUAUUUUGAAAGUAUUAGGUUGAUUUGACUUUAGCUUCAAUUCUACUUAAAGGAAAGAUAUAUUUAGAUAGAGAAUAGAUUUCUGGGAGCUAGAGAAAAUGAGGCAAAAAAGAGCUAGAGUAAAGCUAACCCAAAACAUAGAUAGCCCCUUAUCAAGAAUCGGGUUGAGUGGAAUGAAGAAAAAGUUGGCAGGAUUUACCCCCACAAUGAUGCACACAUUCUUGGUGGGGGCCCUUAGUUACAUGGGUCAGGAACUAAUAAGUCCCUGUGGCACUUUUGAUGCUUUCUGUGGCAAGUAACAACAACAACAAUCAUCACAAUCAUAACAACUUAUCAAACUGACUUAAACAUAAGGAAAUUUGUUAUUUCACAAAACUGAAAUUUUAGGACUAAACUCAGGACUUUUAAGUUGCACCUUGAAUAGCUAAACAGAGUGUUGAGUUGCACACUUGUCUGGCUGAACAAAUCAGGAGCUGGUUGAUUCAGAAGCCCAAUGAUGCCAACACAGACCCAUGUCUUUCCUUCCCUCUUCUGCUCUUCUUGUCAAAGGUUUCACCUUAAGGUCAGUUCCCUUCAAGUGUCAAGUAUACAUGUGCAUACCUGGUCAUAUCUAGCAGGAGAAAGAGAAAACAAGAAAACUCUUCCCUUGAUCAAGGAGUGUAAGUCCUUCGCUUUAGCCUGAUUUAACCAAAUUAAGUUGUACCUAUAAGGAAAAAGGUAAUUUGUCUUAGGUAGUAGCAAUGAGAUUUUAGAACUGAUACUGGUUGGGUACCUUCAAGUCUGUGUUUCUAUACAAUUUCUUAACAUGGGCCUCUGAUAUUAGGGAGAUUCUGGAGUUACAUAUCUUGAUAAUUUAGGAGUAAAUUUCCCUUAGCAACAGUUAAUUAUGCCUUAAUUUAUUUUGUGUUGCUAAAGAGCAAAUGAUGAACCCAUUGAGUUGCUGUUGAAGCUUUGAUUUGAAUUUAGUAAUUCCUGAUUGCCUGUAUCAUGGGACUUUCUCUAGUAUUAGACAAUCUUCCAGUUCCUCAAAUGAGGCAUGUUCUAUUAGGCAGCAACUGGUGUGUUUGAGACCAUUUGUAAGUAUUUUAGGUGAUAGACAAUAAUACACAUAGUGCCAAUGAUAAAGUCAAUCCAGUCACAGGACCACCCAGAAAAUAUUGGGGACUCUAACAAAAGGAGCAACAAAAUCCAAAACAAUCAUAACAAAAAAUGAAAGAGGGAACACUGAAUUUGAUGAAUUAAAAAUUAUGAGAAGAUUUUUGUUGGAAAUAUUCAGAUGGCAGUAACUUCUAAUGUGACUAAGCUAUCCUGUUGCAUAGUGAAACCAGUUUGCUAAGUACCUUUUGUUUUGUUUUGUUUUGUUUGAGGCAAUGUCUUACUCUGUCACCCAGACUGGAGUGCAGUGGUGCUACUACAGUUCACUGCAGUCUCAAUCUCUCAAGCUCAAGCGAGCCUCCUGCCUUAGCCUCCUGAGUAGCUGGGACCACAGGCACAUGCCACCACAGGCACAUGCCACCACACCCAGGUCAUUUUUAAAAAUUUUUGGUAGAGAUGAAGCCUCACUGUAUUGCCUAGGCUAAUCUCGAACUCCUGUGCUCAAGCAAUCCUCCCACCUUGGCCUCCCAAAGUGCUGGGAUUACAGGUGUGAGCCACUGCACCAGGCCCAAAGUACAUUUUUCACACCUGAUUGGAUUUUGUUCUAGUUGGCCUAUCCACUAUGUGGUAUGAGUAUACUUCCUGGGUAAUGAGAAUGGCAAACACUUGUGAUUACCUAGUUGUCAAGAUGAUUACUAAUUCUAACCUAGCAUUCUAAUCUAGAGUUCGUUUCUAGAUUAGAAUUAGUAAUCAAGUCACAGUGAAAGAAAAAAAGAGUUUCUGGGAAGGCAGAAGGAAAAAUUGGUAAAUUCACUUUUACUGUUUACAUAUUGACUUGUUUUUCUUAAUGUUAACUGCAGAAUUUGUUUCGUCAUCCAAGGUGCAAAUAAAAGUCCUGAGAGUUUAGUUCUAUGUCAUCUCUUUUAUAAAUAACAGAUGUCAGUUAUACUGCCAUGCACCUGUUAACCUCGGAGGCACCCUCACUGCCCACUAACCCCCUCCUUGCUCUAGAGGUGCCGAGAAUGGGUGAAAGCAGAGGGGGGAUACCCAAGCCAAAGUGAAGCAGAGGUAAAAUGGCAUGGAGAAAAUCACUGCAGGACAAUACAAAGUCAAGGUCAAAUGAUGGGAUGAGACAGAGACAUAGAGAAAACCAUCCAGAGAACACUGGCCUAAAGCAAUCCUUGGUGGUGGUGAUGGGGGUGGGCGGGGGGUUCUUUUGAAACCAUGGUGUUUGGUAAACUAGGAAAUAAAGAGAUGAAGGUAAAUAUCAUGCCAGCCUCAGCAAACAGCAGCUGGAACGAAAGAAACUCAAGGACAGCCCUGAGCAUGGAGAAAAUAGUGCUGGGUAGGCAUUGUUCUCCAGAGCCAGAGCACACACACAGAGGCCACCACUGAAAGUGAAGGACAACUGGAGUUGGGAGUACGUGUGCAUCUUUGAAAAAGGCAUAGCGCUUUCUGGAGACAGACACUGAUUUUGAAAUCAUUUUAAUGGCAAUUCUUUUCACAAGCUGUGACCCAAACAUACUCAAGUUGAAGUAUCACCUCUUUUUCCCUGGUUACUUCUGCUGCCUUGGCUUAUCUCAGGAGACCUUGGUAUCUCAACCCUGAUAUUUUCUCCUCCAUCUCCUUGCCUGAAUUAAAACUCUUCUUUACCCAGAGAGCACUGCUUUUCUUGCAGCCCUCUGGAGUCCUUUUCCACACCCUAGAUAUCCUAGAUUAGGAUGUGGAUGUGGCUGCCCCCUCAUUCCCUAAUGCAGCCCCCAAGCAUUCCUGUAAAAAUGGCUGCUCCUCUGAAGUUCAGGUAGUGUUGUUCUUGUCCACUGGUCUCCGGAAACUCCCUCUUGUUCCCCAAGGACUUUCCCUUCUUGCUUCUAGUAUUCCCUCACACCUCAACCCUGUCAUCCUCCGGAGAAGCGUUACUGUACCCAUGGAUGACCUAGUCAACACUCUGGCCUCUCAAUGCCUUCAUCUACUUCACUACCUCCAGCACCCACCUCUCAGUGGCACCUGGAUCUUGUUACCUCUUCCAUCUCCUUCUCUGAUGACAGCUCCCUCAUUCCAGUCCACUUGCACACCUGCUCUGCAUCUCACCACACAAGGUCCUUAGACCCUGGCCACUCUACUUUUCCUUAUCCAUUAACCCACUCUGCCCUUGUUUCUCUUUGAAGCCACAUUAAACUCCACAGUCCAUUAUCUUAGUCACUGUCUUGCCAAUACCCUAAACUUACUGGCCUAUUUUUUCCUUUCAUCACGUCCACCUGGGCGGGGGGUAUCCUAGAAGAACUCAACAGCAUACUUUCUUAUUUAUGUCUCUCCCUAGGCAGCAAAGUAUGACUAGAGAGAAAUAUCCCAGCCUACAGCCUGCACCCAGUCACCACCUUCCCUGAUUCUCAAACCUCCCUCACCCCUAGGGAAUCUCACCGUCCUCCUCUUGUCCCUCACCCUUCUGUCUCUGAAACGACCAUUUUAAACUUUCUCCACUUCUCAAAGCUUUGAGCCCCCAUCUCAUCGCUCACUCCAGUAGAUGUCUUUGUUCUUACUUCACAGAGGAAAUAGAUGCGCUCUGGUAGCAAUUACCUCACUUCCUGCCACCGGCUCCUAUAAACCAACCUGCACCUCUGCGCCCAUCCUUUGCUCUUCCCAUCUGGCAAAAUGGAACUGAUGUCUCUCCUCCUACAAAGGUCAAGUCUCUUCUUAUGCCAUGGAUUCCAGCCUUCUUAGGAAAGGUACAUUAUAAAUCCUCCCCUUUUUCUAUCUUUGAAUUGUUCCUCUCUAAUGGGCCCUUUUCAUCAGCAUCUAAACAUGUUCCAGUCACUCCCAUUCUAAAAAAUUCUAUUCCUGGACUCCAAAUUUCCUGUUCAGUUCUACUGUUUUUCUCCUCCCCUUCACUCCUAAACUGAUUGGAAGAGUUGUGCACAAUCAUUGUUUGCCCUUAUUCAUUGCCUGUUUACUUAUCAGCCUUCUCCAACUGGCUUCCUUCCCUAUUCCUCUAUUAGAACUUUUUUUUGCUGAAGGACCCAGUGACCUCCAUGGCCCGAAAUCCCAUGGGUACUCCUUGGUCUUUGUAUUAUAUGACCUCUCAGCCUACUUCAACAAAGUUGACCCUCCCUUCUUUUGGAAAAAGCUAUUUUUCUUGGUAUCCAAACUACCACACUCUCCUGGAAGACACCCAGCUGUGUCUCUCUCUGGCUCUCUUUCUCUGUCCCUUUGCCAGCUUUUCCUCUUCUACCUGACCUUUACACAUUGGAACUCCUCAGGUUCAACCUUAGAUCCUCUUCUCCCACCCUAGCUGCUUAAAUCAUCUCAACCACCCAUAUUGCCUUGCCUCUAUGCUGAGAGCUUUCAGAUUUAUACGACAGCCCAGAAUUUCCUCCAAUCUCCUGAGCCAUAGUAGACUUUGAGUCUUUGCUUCAGAUGCAGAUCAAGAUGUGGCAACCUGUUGUGGAGAACUGGGUCCCUUGAGCCUGUGCUGUCUCUUUUUUUCUGGUGGCUUUGUCAUUUGGAACAAUGCAUAAUGGGCUGGAGGCUGAGAAACUCUGAGCUGAGGGCAAGUAGAGCUGCAGCUGUCUGGCGCCACUGUAAUGCUGUCUCCUCCUCUGAGUGAGUUCAUCCUGGAAACAUUUUCUCCCAUAAGACAUGCACAGGUCUUACGUUUACAUGUUUCACUGAAAGAAAUUUGAUUCCACUGCUGGGAUGACAAGGAAGACUGAAGAAACCUAAUCCUAGGUGCUGCCACUGGGACAAACAAGAAGCACCAGACACAGUGCUGUUUUAGGGUGGGGCAGAAUUAUGCUGAGGGAAAAGUUAUUAUCACUCUUUAAGGCCAAGGAAACCACAAUUUUUAAAGAAGCUUCUAGAAAUUCUACCCAGUAGAAAAUAAAGAUAAACUUCUGUAAGGAAUUUCAUUCUUUUCAGAAUUCGCAAUCUGAAAUGUAGAAGCCCAUUCCUUCAUGGUUCUCAUAGAUAUUUAGUGUGACUGAGGGGUCAGUGGACUCAUAGCACUCAGGCCAGGCUUCUCCUGAGUCCCUUUCUUUGGCACAGAGGGAGUGAUUCACAGAUCCUCUACCCCCAAAGGCAUUGUUUCCUCAUCUCAACAAGAAUCCAGCACCCGUCAUUUUAUCAGCACACGUCACUAGCUUCUCAAGUGAGACUACUCUGAAGUGAUCUGUGUUUGAAGAAUGCCUUUCCCUUUCCCUUACGUAACUAAGAGGAUGAAAAAGGACACUCACUCCCUAUAUGAAAGCUGUGUAUUGUAAGCAGUCAUCUUGCCUGGCUGAGAACUCUAGGAUCUUUUUCUCUGCUCUCCUUUAGGCUGACACUCAUAGCCAGACCUUCUGUUUAUUAGCCCCCUGAAUCUAUUUGAAAAUAUUUUUGCUUUCAUUAUAAUAUAAGUCACAUUCUUCUUGCAUCUGCCGCUGCAUUUUCCAAAAGGGUUAUGUCAAGGGAAAUUCAACACUCACUUUUCUCAUUAUUUGCUUACCAGCUUGCUCACUCAUCAAAAUACCAGAGUUAUUUGAUACUUCAGAAGAUUAUUUCCCCCUUUAGAUGAUGUGUCAAGGGAAGGGGAGCUGGCCCCAGUAUCAGGUGACAGAAUUUUCUUCGCAUUUCUACUGUUGACUCAAUAAAUGCCCUUGGGCAAGUCAUGGAGCCUCUUCAUACUUUGGUCUCUAGGGAUAAAAUCUGCCAACCGCAGCAUGUGUAUUUGAACCUCAGUGUCCUCUGGAAUAAAAAUAGGAGGGGACCAGGUGUCCAUGUGACCCCAAGCUGAUGGGAAGAGGAUGACCAUAGGACUUCAAAAUGUCCUUGAGCUGUAAAUUCUGUAAUAGGGUCAGGCCCACCAGUGGCCUUCAGGCAUUUGUCCAGUGGUGUAUGGAUAAGUUCUAGCACUUGAGUUUUUUCAGCACAAAGGAGGCACUAUGUCAACCUCCCACCCAUGGGUAUUCUGUUUGCUCUGUGUCCCCGCUUCUCUGCAUUUCCCUGCCAUAUUACUCACCACUGGUCGUAAUUACUUGCUUGAUCACUUGUCUCCUGGUCUGUAAGCUGUUUGAGGGAGGGGAGCACAUCUGCCCUAUGCAACACUGUACCCUCAGUGUGGUACACAGGAGCACAUGCCUGACAUAUGGAAGUUAUGUGAGAAACAUUUGUGAAGUGGACAAAUUAAUAAUGCUGCCUGGACUCUAUAGAAAUCCCUUUUCUGCAUCAUUAAGGUUCCCAAGCCUGGCCAAGAAGUAGUGGGAUCUGAUUAGCCUCAUCUCCUCAUAACCCUACUUCCUAUAAUAUUAUAAUGAAAGCAGAUCUCAGCCCAAAUGCUGGCACACAUACAUAUUUAUCAGUAAGAAGAUCCAAAAUCGUUCAUGCAGCUGGUUCUGUAAGCUUGGCAAAUUUCCAGCCCUCUGAACUUUUCAGUGCUUUGUCCACACUCUACAUGAAAGGGCCUCUUAAGAGUGACAGGGCAGUAUUCUAAAGACCAGAUUUUAAUUGCACCAGGUAACUGAAUUGUCUGAAUUCACAGCUGAACACAGGACAAGGUCAGAAUCAUAUUUCUUAUGCCAUUUAGAAAGGUGACAAGUGAAGGGCUGGCCAAAAUCUUACACCCAGCUUACGUAAGAGUAGAGACUGUCCCUAAUGCUUUCCCCAGUCCACUUGUCUCGAACACCAUUAGGUUCAAUAGUAAAAGCCCAUUUCUCACUUGCUUCAUGUUAAUUGACUGAUCACUAAUUUUACCAAUAAGAAGCCAUUUUUAUUAUUUAUCAUUAUGAUUUUUAUCAUUUUGUUAAUUAGCCAAGCUUCUGCUGUUGACUCCAGAUAAAGAGAGUUAAAGCACUUGGGGUGACCACCUAAGUAGAUUUUUUCAUGGUGAACAAAUGGAAGCAACAGAAACAGCUCAGACUUUUGAAAAGUGAUGAAAAAGGCCCAUGAUGCCCUGCUCCUUGAAAAUGAAGAAGAGGAUGACUUAGCCCUGCAGGGCUCUUUUCUUUGCAUGUUCUUACCAACCCUCAGGGGAGAUUCAGUCUACUAGCUGGCUUCCCCACGUGGACCUCACUCUGUGGUCCUCUUCUCCCUGAAGGCUGUCACAGUUCCUGUGCAGAGAGAGAGGGCACUGCAGCACCCAGGCGCUGACUGCCUUUUGUCAGUCUCAUUUGCAGGCCCCCAGCUGGAGAACCCAGGAGGAAGAGGAAAAAAGUUUUUUCCUCCUCUACACUCCCCAUGCAUGACUAAAGAGUAGGAGGAGUCAGCAAGGCAGACAUAUAUAGUACCCAGGAGGUGGACAAACAACUGCCUUGGUGGAAACUCUGUCCUUUCUGGACUUAUCCUGGUGCCACUGAGACUGUGCAGGUCCCACACUUACAGGGAAAGCAUCACCCGAAAGUGAGAAUGCCUAGAGGCAGGAAUCAUGGAGGCUUCCUUAACCGUCUGUCUGCAACAGCAGGUGCUAGAGAUGACACUGCAGAGUAGAGAACAAAGGAAUCUUAGUAAUUGUUCAAUCCAAUCUCCACACUUUAAAGAUGAAGAAACUGGUAUUGAGAAAAAUACACAGCUUAUCCAAGGUUGCACUGCUGGUUGGUAGCUGAGAUGAAUUUAGAACCCACAUCUGAUGACUACACCAUAUUGCUCCCAGUUUUCCUGUCUGUUCCACAUGUAAAAGUCUGACUCUUCACUUCUCCUUUGAGUAUAUAGACUUUUAACAUUUUUGUAUGUCAAGAUGGACUUUUCCUCAUACCCAGCCCCUGCCUUUUCUCCUCCCUUCAUACCUUGCAGGAUCUUUAACAGAAUUUAAAAGGAGUUUUUUGUUUUGUUUUGAUGUAUCUAAUAAAAGUCAAGGGAGGGAGAGGGCCAGUAUAAGCAAGAGUACAGUUUCCUAGUUUGUAGAUGCGGUAGUCUGAGGAAUCAGAAACACACAAAGGUUUGGAGAACUGGUACAUGCUCCCAGGUGGGAAGCCAGGACUCUUGGUAGGAUCUUGAGGACAAGGCAAAGGACAAUAAGAGAGCGAGGGGAUCCUAGAGGUGGAAUCAAGGAAGAGAAACUAGAGAGAGAAAAAGGAACUGGCUAUCCAUCCAUGAUGGAUCCUGUGUGGACUGAUGGGUGGCUUGGCAUCAUCCUUUAGUAGACUUCAUGUGGUUGAAUAAUUGGCCAAUGGAAGGAAUUUCUUUUUUGGUAACAGACUCUGUGUGUACAGUUAUGGGUCUUAAUUUAUAAUAAAAGGUUACAUUGAAAAUUGAGCAUAUUGGCAACUUUGGGCUUUAAUAUUACUACUGUGCUAUUUAGGUCCCAACCAUCCUAGCUAAUCUGGGCAUUCUUGAAACAGCUCUCAUUAUUGGUAUGUCAAACCGUCUCAUAGGGCAUGUACUUAACAAAAGUGGAGUGAAGGGUUCAGGAUGCAUAAAUGGGGUGAAGCUCGUGGUAUUCCAUUCCUUUUUACUGAAGCCACUCCUACCAGCUGCCUUCUAGAUUGUUCACCUUAUAUGAGCAUGGUGCAGUAUAGAAGUUGUAGACUUUGGCCUCAGACAGAUCUAAAUUCUAAUCUCAGAUCACUACUUCCUGGUUGAGGACAAGAUUUCUUUAACCACCCCAAGUCCCAAUUUUCUCAUGUCUAAAAUGGCAGAAAUAAUGUGUACUUUGCAGGGUUGUUGUGAGAGUUAAGUAAUAUGGGUAAUGCACUUGGGACAGUGCUUCACACAAAAUUGUCAGUAAAUGGUGAUCUUUCUUUUCCUGGCACUACAAAGCUGAGGAGAGGAGGGAGGGAGGGAGAUGAAUGUCUGGAGGAAGAAAGGGCAGGAGUUUCUUCAUCUUUGAGUGAAGGAGCAUUGAGGGUUAGCAGGGAUAUAGGAAUAGUGAGUUGGCUGGGAAGAAAAAAAGGAUUAAAAGAGGAAAAGAAUAGGAAAAAAGAAGGAUACCAUGGAGAAAAUGGGCAACGGCCCCAGAAAGAAGAGCAAGAAUGGCAGUGAUGGUGAGCAUUGCUGGAAUGAUGGAAGGUUCUCCGGCCCCGGUGAUGCGUGGGCACCACCGGAGAGCUUGUUAGAAAUGCAGAGUCUCUGUCCCUCCCCAGACCCUCUGAAUCAUAAUUUGCAAUUUAAUGAGAGGUCCCCAGGUGAUUCCCAUAUCCAUUAAUUCUGCAGAGUUGAUGUUUUCAUCUGCGGUGGCGGGGGGCGG
rnacentral:lncRNA from 1 species